UGGAAAAGAGAGGAGCAGUGGUGCUGUGGCAGUGGCAGAGGUCGCUACAGCCCUGUGAUCUUUCCAG
ensembl:miRNA MIR6856 microRNA 6856